rnacentral:rRNA from 1 species
UACAGAGGGUGCAAGCGUUGUUCGGAAUUACUGGGCGUAAAGCGCGUGUAGGCGGCUUGGCAAGUCGGGUGUGAAAGCCCUGGGCUCAACCUAGGAAGUGCACUCGAAACUGCCUCGCUUGAAUGACCGGAGAGGAAAGCGGAAUUCUCGGUGUAGAGGUGAAAUUCGUAGAUAUCGAGAGGAACACCGGUGGCGAAGGCGGCUUUCUGGACGGUGAUUGACGCUGAGACGCGAAAGCGUGGGGAGCAAACAGG